GAACGCACAUUGCGCCCUUUGGUAUUCCUUAGGGCAUGCCUGUUCGAGCGUCAUUUAAACCUUCAAGCUCAGCUUGGUGUUGGGUGACUGUCCGCCGCCCCCGGGCGCGUGGACUCGCCUCAAAAUUAUUGGCGGCCGGUACAUUGGCUUCGAGCGCAGCAGAAACGCGAACUCGGGCCCGUCGUAUUGGCUCCCAGAAGCUAUCUUCACAAUUUUGACCUCGGAUCAGGUAGGGAUACCCGCUGAACUUAAG
rnacentral:misc_RNA from 1 species